rnacentral:rRNA from 1 species
AGAGUUUGAUUCUGGCUCAGGAUGAACGCUGGCGGCGUGCUUAACACAUGCAAGUCGAACGGAGAGCUAAUGACAGAGGAUUCGUCCAAUGGAUUUAGUUUCUUAGUGGCGGACGGGUGAGUAACGCGUGAGUAACCUGCCUUGGAGUGGGGAAUAACACAGUGAAAAUUGUGCUAAUACCGCAUAAUGCAUUUAGGUCGCAUGACUUUGAAUGCCAAAGAUUUAUCGCUCUGAGAUGGACUCGCGUCUGAUUAGCUAGUUGGCGGGGCAAUGGCCCACCAAGGCGACGAUCAGUAGCCGGACUGAGAGGUUGGCCGGCCACAUUGGGACUGAGACACGGCCCAG